UACGUAGGUGGCAAGCGUUGUCCGGAUUUAUUGGGUUUAAAGGGUGCGUAGGCGGCUUAAUAAGUCAGUGGUGAAAGCCGAUCGCUUAACGAUCGAACUGCCAUUGAUACUGCUAGGCUUGAGUAUAGAUGAGGUAGGCGGAAUUGACAGUGUAGCGGUGAAAUGCAUAGAUAUUGUCAAGAACACCAAUUGCGAAGGCAGCUUACUAAGUUAUAACUGACGCUGAGGCACGAAGUGCGGGGAUCAAACAGG
rnacentral:rRNA from 1 species